GAAGCCUCUGCCGUUCCUCUCUCUUCUCACCAAAAAAUAAAAAAACAUAUCGCAAAAAGAAUCCUCUGCCGUUCCUUUCUCUUCUCUAUUUCUCUACCGUCUCCAUCCCCAAAACCCAACACUGAAAAUCAAUCCUGCCAAGAAGCCAUCCCCACACGGUUAGGUCCGAGAUAGAAAGAAGGCAUCACCAACCAUAUGGUUUGGUCCUUCGGAGAGUUUUUUCGGAAGCGAAGGUGACGAUGGGACCACAACAGAGCUUGAAGAGAAAAUCAAAUCAGGCACCGCCACUGCUGGUGUUUGAUGAAAUUUCCUAUGAGUUCUAGAAGCCAUAAUACAUGGAGAGUCGUAAGGAGGAAGAUAGAUUGCUUGCAGCCUUGCAAUGUUGUUGACUACAAGUAUUCUCUACAUGGGCUGCUAGUGGAUUCUAAUGAGUACCUUCAGAGGUAUGAAAGGUUUGAUUUAGCAUCAACAAAAUGUAGAUAACUCAAUUCAAUUAUGAUCCUGCUUUCAUGGAGGAAAUGAGGACAAGAAGACAAACAUCUCAUGAGUUUCACAUACACAGUUGCAGAACCAGUUCAUAAACCAUAUAAAUAUGGACUAUGUAAAUUGACCAAUGUCUAUGUACAAUGAUAGAUUUGCUUAUUCAACUUGUGGUGGUGUUCAUAAAGUAACAUUCAACUAGCAUUAAAAACACCUACUCUUCUAUGUUUAUGAAAUUUUACAUGUAUUACU